CCUCCUCCCAUUCCUCCUCCAGCUGCUCCUCAUAAAGUAUUGUAUGCUGAUCUAUCAAUAGCAGCUGGUAAGAGAACACCAAAGAAUAAACCACCCACUGAGGAAAGAGUAGUCCAUGCAGCAGUCAAUGGAAAUAGGAAGUUCACUACUCAAGAGCUGAUCAUGGAUAGGUUAGGUGGUCUGGAUAUUCCUCCUCCAAUACCACCAAAACCAAAACCUUGAAACCAACUCAAAGACAUCAAUCCUCCCUGUCUCCAGUAGUAUAGAAUGGACAUACUUUAGUAUAAUGUAUUGUGAAACGAUUAACUCUAUCUUGUAAUCUCUCUCUCCCUGACUUUCAUUAUAAUGUCAUGGGUAUAUAGUAUAAAAUCUUUUGUAAUUUUUUAGUUCAUUCUAAUCAACAGAACCAACAAUGUAUAAAG
rnacentral:lncRNA from 1 species